UACGGAGGGGGCGAGCGUUGUUCGGAAUCACUGGGUGUAAAGGGUGCGUAGGCGGUCCGUUAAGUCUGAUGUGAAAUCCCUGGGCUCAACUCAGGAAUGGCAUUGGAAACUGGCAGGCUAGAGUACGGGAGAGGGAAGCGGAAUUCCUGGUGUAGCGGUGAAAUGCGUAGAUAUCUGGAGGAACACCGGUGGCGAAGGCGGCAUCCUGGACCACGACUGACGCUGAGUGAGCGAAAGCCAGGGGAGCAAACGGG
rnacentral:rRNA from 1 species